AUGAAUGUUCGAGGGAUGCCUUACACAUGACGAGUUGAACGGAAAUUAAUUUUUCAGUAGCGAACGGGUGCGUAAUAUUUUGGAAAUUUAUUUUAAAGUUUGGGAUACUUGUUACCUGAAGAACAAUUAAUACCAAAUAUUUUAAAAAGUUAAUCUGCUUUAAAGUAAGCCAAAAUGAGAUCAGGUAGUUGGUUGGAAAAAAGCCUACCAAGCCUAAGACCUCUAGCUGGUGUGGGAGCACGUACAGCCACAUUGGGUCUGAGAUACGACCCAAACUUCCAUGGAGGGCAGCAGUGUGGAAUCUUGGGCAAUGAGCGAAAGCUUGACCCAGCAAUCUCGCAAUGGUGAUGAACUGCGACUUUUGUUGAAUGUAAAGCCAUUUCUGUGUGUACGAUAAUGACGUAAAGCACAAAAGAAGUUCCGGUGAAUUGUGU
rnacentral:rRNA from 1 species